rnacentral:rRNA from 1 species
UACAGAGGUCUCAAGCGUUGUUCGGAAUCACUGGGCGUAAAGGGUGCGUAGGUGGCGUGGUAAGUCAGAUGUGAAAGCCCGGGGCUCAACCUCGGAACUGCAUCCGAUUCUGCCAUGCUAGAGUACUGGAGAGGUGACUAGAAUUCUCGGUGUAGCAGUGAAAUGCGUAGAUAUCGAGAGGAAUACCAAAGGCGUAGGCAGGUCACUGGACAGUUACUGACACUGAGGCACGAAGGCCAGGGGAGCGAAC